UACGUAGGGGGCAAGCGUUGUCCGGAUUUAUUGGGCGUAAAGAGCGUGUAGGCGGCUUUACAGGUCCGUUGUGAAAACUCGAGGCUCAACCUCGAGACGCCGGUGGAAACCGUAAAGCUAGAGUCCGGAAGAGGAGAGUGGAAUUCCUGGUGUAGCGGUGAAAUGCGCAGAUAUCAGGAGGAACACCCGUGGCGAAAGCGGCUCACUGGACCACAACUGACGCUGAUGCACGAAAGCUAGGGGAGCAAACAGG
rnacentral:rRNA from 1 species